AUAAGAUGAAUGAAAACAUGGUAAAUACUUGUAGAUUUUUACAGUCAUAAUGUGAACACAAUAUUCUCAAAAUGACAGAAACUGAAGCAGAAGAAACAAAAUUAACAAGAGAUGAAACCAGUGAAGCAUCCCCUCUGUCUGGUCAAAUGGAAAACACGGAAGAAACUUUAAUAGGUCAAAUUCAAAAGAGAAUUGCUGAUUAAAAACAUUUCAAAGAAGAUAACCCAGGCUGCUUUCGUAUUGUUGUAUCUUUAUCUAUAUUACUUAUAAUAUCUGUCUGCUUAAACAUUCACUUCAGCUAUAAACAGAAACAAAGUUGCAUUUAUGAUGAAAGCUGUCAAAAUAUAACUAGCCCACAAAUGUUCAAUGAACACGAUGGUAACAACUGUUCAAGAAAAUCAACAAACAAUGUUAUUACAAACAUCGGAAGGAUUUUGAAUCUGGAAUUGUGGAAAGAUGGGUUAAAAAUAGAAUUGCGACUUCCAACUAGUUUUAUUUUACAUAAAAUGUCAUACGAUGAUGAGAGAGAAAUUGUGUUGUGUAGAAAGGACAGAAAUCAUUUUUACAUUUAUUGUAACAAAACUUAUUACGAUAACUGCACUGUCAAUCAUAAAAGUGGAGAAAAUACGACCAUUCAGGAAGCAGAUGGUCGAAUGUUGACUUAUGACAUAUCUACUAAGUGCAUUGAUUAAAGAGCUGUACUUGAAUGGAUUCAACCACAAAAGUACAAGUCAACAAAACCCAAAAUUUAAAUUUGCAAUUGAUUGAUUUUAACAUAAAGUAUUUAACAUCUUGAAAAAUUGUGUGUUUCAUAUCGUUUGACAAAUCAAGAAUAUUCAACUGCUCUUUAUUUUGCUAGUGAACAGUGAACAGUGAACCGAUGAUAGAACAAUGCAUAUGUAAUAAUAAAAAUACCUUUAUUGUGUUAAGAUCCAUGUUAUGAGGGCAUAUUUGCCUUUUCUUUAUUUGUACAUGUUGUAAUGUUAUAACAUUUGAUAAAAAAAAGACAAUGGUUACCAACCAAAAGAAUUAUUUAACUCAACAAUUUUUUCACUGUAUAUACUUAUACUAUCUUGUAUAUAAAUUGCCUUGCAAUGUUUUUCAAUGUUAAUUAUUUUUGUUAGACGUACUGAUGUUUGUAAGUGCAGUUAGCUGUGAUGCCUAUUUUUUUAUUAUCAUUGUUUUUAUCUUUCAUGUUUAUUGUUUAUUGUUAUAGGUGGCAAAUGCCUACCAGCUAGUCUUCAUUUUACAAAGUGUACAUAAUAACAAUCAAAUUUCAUUCAGGAUUCCCUCCCCCAACAAAACAUAAUAAGAAAGGCAAGUUGUAAAAUGUUACUGCAUAUAAAACUUCAACAUGAAAAAAAAAUUGAGCUAAAUUAAAGGUUUAACUCUUGCAAAAUAUAUCUGUCCUCGGAAUGUACAUAAAAUUAUAAGCUUAAAUAUAAAAUACACACUUUAAGCAGUCUAUUUUUGGGUUCUAAACAACAAGAAUCAGGAUUUAAAAAUUUAAUGAAAUAGAAAAAAAACGCAAAUAGUAUGUUCUUUACGGACUGUUUAAAAAUAAGCUACGUAUGCUUAAGUGUAGAUAUUUUAGUAGGAAAAUGAGAAACGACAAGACAAAAUAAAUUACUGUCUUUUGUUUAAGACCUUCUUCUGCCCUUUGCAUGCUUUUCUGUAAUAUAUGUAGCUACGUUUAGGGUAUAAAUGACGUAUACCCUAUGUUUAUUUUGUUUACACACAAAGUAUAUAACUGUAACCGGUUUUUUUUGUCGGUAUCAUAAAUUAUCGUAUAAAAGUUUAUUCAAUA